GACAGAGGGUGCGAACGUUGCUCGGAAUUACUGGGCGUAAAGCGCGUGCAGGCGGCCCUGCACGUCCGGUGUGAAAGCCCGGGGCUCAACCCCGGAAGCGCGCUGGAAACGACGGGGCUGGAGGGCUGGAGAGGCGGGCGGAAUUCCCGGUGUAGAGGUGAAAUUCGUAGAUAUCGGGAGGAACACCGGUGGCGAAGGCGGCCCGCUGGACGAGCGCCUGACGCUGAGACGCGAAAGCGUGGGUAGCAAACAGG
rnacentral:rRNA from 1 species